rnacentral:misc_RNA from 1 species
AAGUGGAUUGCAGCAAUCUUCCCCAUUGAAACUGGGAGCACAGAGACAAACAGUCACUCAGCCAUCAGUGUCAAGACCUGCACUGGAGGAAAAUAUAGUUCUUGGUGUUGCUUUGGAGGGCUCAAGGAGAACUCUUCCCAUUGAGGAAGGCAUGGCUUCCCAUUCAUCUCCAGAAGAGGCAAAGAAAAUGGCUGCCGCAAGCAGAAAUGGAACUGCAGCUCCAACUGGUGAGGAUGGGAAAGAUGGUCAAAGUCCAAUCCCUCCUAGUUCUACAUCCGGCGACCAGUGAAAAUCAUCUAAACUAAUCUUUGCAUAUAUGCUAAACUUUGCCCUCUGAACUGCUAACUUCUUCCUGGAACCUUCUCUUUAAAGCUCUUUCAUACAUUGUACAAGUUCAGGGUAUAUUGUCCAUGAUUAGAGCAGUGUAAUUAUACUCUUCAACCUCACAUUGUCAAUACAGCAUAUAGAAAAUGGUACAUUUCUA